rnacentral:pre_miRNA from 1 species
AGUGGAGUUGCUGGGUCAUACUGUAGCUCUGUGUUCAACUUUUUGAGGACCUGCCAGGUUGUUUUCCAAAGUGGCUGUACCAUUUUGUAUUCCCAUCAGCAAU